rnacentral:rRNA from 1 species
AUACGUAGGGUGCAAGCGUUGUCCGGAAUUAUUGGGCGUAAAGAGCUCGUAGGCGGCUUGUCGCGUCUGCUGUGAAAUCCCGAGGCUCAACCUCGGGCUUGCAGUGGGUACGGGCAGGCUAGAGUGCGGUAGGGGAGAUUGGAAUUCCUGGUGUAGCGGUGGAAUGCGCAGAUAUCAGGAGGAACACCGAUGGCGAAGGCAGAUCUCUGGGCCGCUACUGACGCUGAGGAGCGAAAGCAUGGGGAGGC